GCGGGGGUAGCAAAGUGGUCAAAUGCGCAGGGAACUUACAGAAAGUUACUGUAGGUUUGCGAAACUUAAGACCAAAGUCUCUUUGAGAUAGUCGUAAGAUAUCCUGUCUCUUAGUGAGUUCGAGGGUUCAAAUCCCUUCCCUCGCA
rnacentral:tRNA from 1 species